rnacentral:rRNA from 1 species
UACGUAGGGAGCGAGCGUUGUCCGGAAUUACUGGGUGUAAAGGGUGCGUAGGCGGGAGAGCAAGUCAGCAGUGAAAUUUAUGGGCUUAACUCAUAACGUGCUGUUGAAACUGUUUUUCUUGAGUGAGUCAGAGGCAGGCGGAAUUCCCGGUGUAGCGGUGAAAUGCAUAGAGAUCGGGAGGAACACCAGUGGCGAAGGCGGCCUGCUGGGGCUUAACUGACGCUGAGGCACGAAAGCGUGGGGAG